rnacentral:ncRNA from 1 species
GCAAAAGCGAAGAUGGAGACCAGUAAGCGGCCAAGCGGCUUGACAGGGAGAAGCGACCAGAGACUGAGAGUCGUUUCCAGGCAUGCCCCGCUGAAUUCACUCUUGAGCUGUCCUCUGAAAGGAAGGCGCCCCUAGUAGGAGGGAACCGGGUCAUUCCCGUUAUCAAUGAAAUGAGCGAGGCUGACAAAGCCUAACCAGGGUGGUACCGCGAGCACAACACUCGUCCCUUUU